rnacentral:rRNA from 1 species
CCUACGGGUGGCAGCAGUGGGGGAUAUUGCACAAUGGGGGAAACCCUGAUGCAGCAACGCCGCGUGAGUGAAGAAGGAAUUCGGUUUGUAAAGCUCUAUCAGCAGGGAAGAAAAUGACGGUAGCAGAGUAAGAAGCCCCGGCUAACUACGUGCCAGCAGCCGCGGUAAUACGUAGGGGGCAAGCGUUGUCCGGAUUUACUGGGUGUAAAGGGAGCGUAGACGGCUGUGCAAGUCAGGAGUGAAAGCCGGGGGCUCAACCCACGGACUGCUCUUGAAACUGUACGGCUGGAGUGCAGUAGAGGGAAGUGGAAUUCCUGGUGUAGCGGUGAAAUGCGUAGAGAUCAGGAGGAACACCAGUGGCGAAGGCGGCUUACUGGACUGUAACUGACGCUGAGGCACGAAAGCGUGGGGAGCAAACAGGAUUAGAUACCCGGGUAGUC